GCGGACGGGUGAGUAAUGUCUGGGAAACUGCCUGAUGGAGGGGGAUAACUACUGGAAACGGUAGCUAAUACCGCAUAACGUCGCAAGACCAAAGAGGGGGACCUUCGGGCCUCUUGCCAUCGGAUGUGCCCAGAUGGGAUUAGCUGUAGGUGGGGUAAGGCUCACCUAGGCGACGAUCCCUAGCUGGUCUGAGAGGAUGACCAGCCACACUGGAACUGAGACACGGUCCAGACUCCUACGGGAGGCAGCAUG
rnacentral:rRNA from 1 species